AAAAAAAAAGACGAGUGAGAGGCGAGAGACUCACAGUGAGAAAGACUUUGCCGCUGCCCACACCGUGAGUGAAGCUGCCAAAACGCGAGGUGAGAGCUUGAAAUCUUGCUGCUGCCCAUGCCAUGACGCCGCCACCACGCGAGAGCGGCGAGACCCAUCUCGCAGACCCACGCGACACCCACACGGCCGCACCCACCACGCGACACCCAUCUCGUCGUGACGCCACUGCUGGCUUUAAUCCUGUUAAUUUUGGCACUCAAUAAAUGCCUUUGUGUUUGAAUAGCUAAAUGAGACAUGUACCCCUUUGGCUCCCGAACUGUUACAGCUCUUGUUGUUAUUACUGUUGUCUUUAUUUGUACUGUUAGUCUGUUGCAAUCAUUGAUGUUAAUGUUACUAUUAUAUCUUUGCGAUUAUUUUUCUUGUUGUUAAUGUUAUCCUUAUGAAGAAUACUCUUUCUAUUAAAUGAAUGUGAUAUGGUGUAUUUUUUGCUGUGAACCAUGCAAUAUGCAGUUGUGUGUGUGUACUUUUUCUUUAAUAGUGUCACAGAAAUUUGAUGGACUUUUCCCGUACUCCAAGCAUGAGGGAAAAAAAGAAAAGAAAAAAUAACUAAGGAACUGAUAUUUCUAUUAUGCUAAUUAUUUUAGGUGUUAGAAUUUUAUUUUAUUUUAUUUUUUUCCAUUUGUAUGGCUGUAAUUGCCAACAAACCAUGUUAUUAUAUUACCAGUUCUGCUUUUAUUUAAUACUCUAUAUUCAUGAAUUAUACCUUUGAGUGCUUCAGGUAUGUUUAAAUUGAUGCUUCAAUUUACAGAGGAUUAUCCAAACAAGCCACCAACUGUGCGUUUUGAGGUAAGAUGCUCUAUUUUGGUUGAGUUGAGAGAUUUUUUGGAUUGUAGUGUUGAUAAAAUAAUCUUGUAAAAUUAGGAAAGGAGCAGAAGUUCCUGAAAUUGAGUGGUGUGAACUAGGGGAGAAGGCAGCGAUGGAAGUGUUGAUGGGGAGUAAAAAUGGGUUCUUGACGAAAAGGUUGAAAGUGGUUAAUGGCAUCAAUGAUAGCUUGUUCUAUCUUCUACCUGUUAUUCUGAAGGCAGUUGAUACAUUCUUGGAGGAGUUGAUUGUGCGCAAAGAACUUGCCAAUAACUUUUGCUUCUACCAGCAUCAUUAUGAUUCACUGCAAGGAGCAUAGGAAUGGGCGCGUAAGACCUUGACGGACCAUGCUUCUGAUGAGCAAGAACAUAUUUACACCAAGGAGCAAUUGGAAAAGGCAAAAACAGCCGAUCCUCUCUGGAAUGCUUCUCAAUUGGAGAUGGUUUACUAUGGCAAGAUGCAUGGUUUUAUGCGUAUGUAUUGGGCCAAAAAGAUUCUUGAGUGGACAAGAGGACCGGAAGAAGCACUUGCAAUAUCAAUAUAUCUGAAUGACAAGUAUGAAAUAGAUGGCAGGGACCCAAGUGGAUACGUUGGCUGCAUGUGGUCAAUAUGCGGCAUUCAUGACUAGUUGUCCUUCCAAAUGUGGACAAAUCAAAUACAGGAAAUGCUGAAUUCUAAGAAGCGUGGAGAUGCUGCUUUUCGAUCUAAGGACU